rnacentral:rRNA from 1 species
UACGGGGGGGGCAAGCGUUGUUCGGAAUUACUGGGCGUAAAGGGCUCGUAGGUGGCCAACUAAGUCCGACGUGAAAUCCCCAGGCUCAACUUGGGAACUGCGUCUGAUACUGGAUGGCUUGAAUUCGGGAGAGGGAUGCAGAAUUCCAGGUGUAGCGGUGAAAUGCGUAGAUAUCUGGAGGAAUACCGGUGGCGAAGGCGGCAUCCUGGACCGAGAUUGACACUGAUGAGCGAAAGCUAGGGGAGCAAACGGG